rnacentral:lncRNA from 1 species
AUUCGUGACAAAACCUAUUCUCUCUUUGGUUCAUAAACACGACAUACAUACAUACAUAUAUAUAUAUAUAUAUAUAUAUAUAUGAGAGAUUCAAAUUUUAAAAAAUUCAAAUUCAAAAUUUGAAUUCUGCUUGAUUUAACAGUCUCGAAUAUUACAUCAUCCCUCCCUACAAAAAGUUUCAUCCUUGAAACUUAAUCAUACAUUCCCGCAAACAACUGCGGAUACCGCUCGCGCAUCGCAAACCUAAGCUCCC